UACAGAGGUGUCAAACGUUGUCCGGAAUUACUGGGCGUAAAGGGCGCGUAGGCGGCCUUAUAAGUCAGAUGUGAAAGCUCUGGGCUCAACCCAGGAAUUGCAUCUGAUACUGUAGGGCUUGAGUUCGGUAGAGGAGGGCGGAAUUCCAGGUGUAGCGGUGAAAUGCGUAGAUAUCUGGAGGAACACCCGUGGCGAAGGCGGCUCUCUGGUCCGAAACUGACGCUGAGGUGCGAAAGCGUGGGGAGCAAACAGG
rnacentral:rRNA from 1 species